UAAAUCCGCAAAUUCCAAAAGUACCACCAUUCCUUCUCAAUGUACAAGCAUCAAACUCGAUCGUAUCAUUAACUGUCCACAAAAAUAUCAAAAAACCAAAACUCCAAACAAAUCAAAACAAAAAUUCAAAAACACAGAAAAUCGAGGCGGCGAAGGAAAUUCGGCGGAAAAAAAAGCAAAGGAAAAACGAUCCGAUCCGAUCCGAUCUGACCUGACAUUGAUAGAUCACCACAGAUCUAAGGUAAGCUACCUUCUAGAAGCGGCGGCGAAGUGAGGAUAAUUGAAUCGGGAAGCAGCGAGGCGGAGGCGAGGGGAGACGGUCCUAGCUAAGGAAGCGGCGUCGCUGAGGAGAUAAUCGAGAGAGUGCACGAACAUAUUCAGGAUUCGAAUCGGCGGGAAGUACAGAAUGAGCGGCGCCGCCGAGAACGCCACCGCCAGGAACAGUUGGAGCAUCGUCAUGAUCUGAAGAAGGAUCUUUUCACCGGAGCUUUUCCGACGGCCUUCAUCAAGGCGGCGAUUUCCAGAACCUUCGCUACUUUGAUUCCCCGCCGCGCCUCCGCCGUUGCCCUCCGCUCCUCCGCCUUCCUGUGCGCCCUUGCGACGUCGUUUUGCAUCCUUUCUAGCGCUUUUGCUCUCUUCUCCUCCAGCUUCCUCUGCAAUCAAUCAAACAGUUGAAAAAAGCUCAAUUAAGGCGGCGAUGGCGGAAAUCGAAUGCUCAGAAACUGAAAUCGCACCUCAACUUUCUUCAUCCUUGAAGUGGCGACUUGAACCUGCUCGCUCUCCCAGCCGUUGAUCACCGCGUCCUCUCGUUUGAACCGGUUGUUGAUCUUCGCUAUCUUCGCGUUCUGCCACGCUCCGAUCUUCGAUUCCGCCUCCUCCUUCUUCACCUGGCGCUGCAUCGUCGCCGCUCCAUCGCCACGGCCGUACUCCGGCGACCUCGGCGGCGGAUUAGCAUCCUGAAGCACAAUCGCCAGAGGAUUCGUCUCCUCGUUCGAGUAACCGCUCGCUUCCUCACCAAUCCUGGUCAGAUUCGUCUCGUUCUCAGUUCGAAUCCUGGAUCCUGCGAGGACUAAGGCGUUGAACUCCCUGCUAAUUGACGUGAACUGCUCGCCGCUGUCGGCCAGCGACGACGACGCCGACGCCGACGACGGUCGGACUGCGACCGGCGGCAGAGGCGGCGCCAAAGCGUGGAUGUCUCGGACGAUCGGAGACGGAGGCUCAUCGCCUACGGCGUCGUUUUGAGCAUUGAGGUUAGCUACUCUUCCACUCUGCGUUUGAUCACUCUGCAUUUUGCGA